rnacentral:rRNA from 1 species
UGGGGAAUAUUGCACAAUGGGCGAAAGCCUGAUGCAGCGACGCCGCGUGAGGGAUGACGGCCUUCGGGUUGUAAACCUCUUUCAGCAGGGAAGAAGCGCAAGUGACGGUACCUGCAGAAGAAGCACCGGCUAACUACGUGCCAGCAGCCGCGGUAAUACGUAGGGUGCGAGCGUUGUCCGGAAUUAUUGGGCGUAAAGAGCUCGUAGGCGGCUUGUCGCGUCGGAUGUGAAAGCCCGGGGCUUAACYCCGGGUCUGCAUUCGAUACGGGCAGGCUAGAGUUNGGUAGGGGAGAUCGGAAUUCCUGGUGUAGCGGUGAAAUGCGCAGAUAUCAGGAGGAACACCGGUGGCGAAGGCGGAUCUCUGGGCCRNUACUGACGCUGAGGAGCGAAAGCGUGGGGAGCGAACAGGAUUAGAUACCCUGGUAGUCCACGCCGUAAACGUUGGGAACUAGGUGUGGGCGACAUUCCACGUCGUCCGUGCCGCAGCUAACGCAUUAAGUUCCCCGCCUGGGGAG